UACAGAGGUCCCAAGCGUUGUUCGGAUUCAUUGGGCGUAAAGGGUGCGUAGGUGGCGUCGUAAGUCGGGUGUGAAAUCUCGGGGCUUAACUCCGAAACUGCAUUCGAUACUGCGUGCUUGAGGACUGGAGAGGAGACUGGAAUUUACGGUGUAGCAGUGAAAUGCGUAGAGAUCGUAAGGAAGACCAGUGGCGAAGGCGGGUCUCUGGACAGUUCCUGACACUGAGGCACGAAGGCCAGGGGAGCAAACGGG
rnacentral:rRNA from 1 species